GCGCUCACCUGGGCAGCACAUAUACUAAAACUGGAACAAUACAGAGAAGACCAUCAUGGUCCCUCUCCAAGGAUGACAUGGAAGCUUGAAGCAUUCCAUGUUUUU